GAGGGUAUAGCUCAGUGGUAGAGUGCAUACUUAGCAUGUAUGAGGUCCUGGGUUCAAUCCCCAGUACCUCCA
rnacentral:tRNA from 1 species